rnacentral:rRNA from 1 species
AUUGAACGCUGGCGGCAGGCUUAACACAUGCAAGUCGAGCGGGGUGAUGGUGCUUGCACUAUCACCUAGCGGCGGACGGGUGAGUAAUGCUUAGGAAUCUGCCUAUUAGUGGGGGACAACAUCUCGAAAGGGAUGCUAAUACCGCAUACGUCCUACGGGAGAAAGCAGGGGAUCACUUGUGACCUUGCGCUAAUAGAUGAGCCUAAGUCGGAUUAGCUAGUUGGUGGGGUAAAGGCCUACCAAGGCGACGAUCUGUAGCGGGUCUGGGAGGAUGAUCCGCCACACUGGGACUGAGACACGGCCCAGACUCCUACGGGAGGCAGCAGUGGGGAAUAUUGGACAAUGGGGGGAACCCUGAUCCAGCCAUGCCGCGUGUGUGAAGAAGGCCUUAUGGUUGUAAAGCACUUUAAGCGAGGAGGAGGCUCUUUUGGUUAAUACCCAAGAUGAGUGGACGUUACUCGCAGAAUAAGCACCGGCUAACUCUGUGCCAGCAGCCGCCGUAA